CCGCCCCUGACUCCGUCUAGCCCCGCUCCGCGAGAAGAGGCUGAACUGCCCCAUCUGCUUCUAAUUUCUUUCUUUCUUUCUUUCUUUCUUUUUUUCCCCUCUUUUCCUUUUCUUCUUUUAAAUAUACGUUUGGAAAUUUGCCGGGCGUGGUGGCGGGCGCCUGUAAUCCCAGCUACUCGGGAGGCUGAGGCAGGAGAAUCGCUUGAAUCCGGGAGACGGAGGUUGCAGUGAGCCGAGAACGCGCCACUACACUCCAGCCUGGACGACGAGAGUGAUACUCCGUCUCAGUCAAUCAAUCAAUCAAUCAAUCGUUUGAUUUUCGUUUUAUGCUUUUACUUCCAAAUUUAUAUUUAUUGCAAAAAAUGUGGAAUAUAACAAAGUGUAAAGGUGAAACUGAAAUAACCCGAAAUUAUAUUUCCCCCUCUGUGGUUUUUUUUUUUCCGUCUCUGUGUUUUUCAAUGUUUUUCAGGCCUUCUGUCUUGAGCUCGUAUUACUGCUGUUCACUGAUGUAUUGUAAAAGCGUAAAACCGGACGUGACCCAAAUGUCUAUCAAAGGAGACUGAUGAGAGAAAUAAACGGAUUUGUUCACACAACGGCUUCUACAGCAAAGAAACAGAAGACGGAGUCUUGCUCUGUUGCCCAGACUGGAGUGCAGUGGUGCGAUCUUGGCUCACUGCAACCUCCGCCUCCCGGUUCAAGCGAUUCUUCUGCCUCAGCCUCCCGAGUAGCUGGGACUACAGGUGCCCGCCACCAUGCUCAGCUAAUUUUUGGAUUUUUAGUAGAGACGGGGUUUUACCAUAUUGGCCAGGCUGGUCUCGAACUCCUGACCUUGUGACCCACCCACCUCGGCCUCCCAAAUUGCUGGGAUUACAGGCAAGAGCCACCGCGCCCUGCCGAGAAUUUGCAUUUCUAACAAGUUCCCAGGUGAUGCUGACACUGCUGGCUCAUGGAACCACUGCUGUAGUAUUUUCCAAAUUAUCCUGAUUCUAAGAACCACCUAUGACCUGUGCUGUUUUUUCAGUGGUUACUGGCUCAUGUCACAUAAAUUCUUUUAGGAUUCAAACAUGUUUGUGAUAUUACUCAGUAUUUACAUCUUGCUUUUACUGCAGCAUGAUAGAAAAAUUAACCACAGGUAUAUCAUAACAAAAAGACCAUGAGUUACCAUUUUCACAAAGUUCAGAUAUAUUUAAAUUAGCCUAUUUAAUCUUUUUUUGGUUGUUGUUGAGAUGGAGUCUCACUCUGUCUCUCAGGCUGGAGUACAGUGGCACAAUCUCAGCUCACUGCAACCUCUGCCUCCCAGGUUCAAGUAAUUCUCCUGCCUCAGCCUCCCGAGUAGCGGGGAUUACAGGUGCCCAACACCACACAUGGCUAAUUUUUGUAUUUUUAGUAGAGAUGGGGUUUUGCCAUGUUAGCCAGGCUGGUCUUGAACUCCUGACCUCAGAUGAUCCGCCUGCCUCGGCCUCUCAAAGUGCUGGGAUUACAGGCAUGAGCCAUCGCACCCAGCCUAUGGUACACCUUUACUGAGGAAACAAUUCAGGAACAUCACUCUUAGUAAGGCAAUUGUUGAUUAUAAGUCAAAAAAACACCAUCAUGUACAAAUUCAGGGGAUUUUGUAUACCUUGUUUUUUUGGUUACAAAUAUGCAAAAUUAAAGAUGUUUGCUAAUACUUGUUUCCAAUUUUUAAACUUUUCAAGUGUUGCACUGUUAAUAAUGUUAAAAUAAAAGGCAUUUGACUUAGUAUGAUUGUUUCUUGAACUUCAUCUUUUCAGGUUAUUUUGUUGCUGGCCACUUGCAAGAUUUAUAGGCACUACUGAGGCCUCAGUGCUGAGAUUCAGCAACAUUAUAAUCAUUAUAAUUCAAAGUUUAGUUUUUUGUUUUUUGUUUUUUUUUUUAAAGAGAUGGGGUCAAAAUGCUGCCCAGGCAUGUCUGGAACUCCUGGGCUCAAGCAAUCGUCUUGCCUCAGACUGCCAAGUAGCUGAACUGUAGGCACAUACCACACCUGGCUGUGUUCAGUUUCAUGGGCAAGUCAAACUAUCUAGUGUUUUGUCUGUACAGACAAGGUCAAUGCGACUUCUCCAAGCUUUUAUCACUCAAUGGUCCUACAGGCC
rnacentral:lncRNA from 1 species